rnacentral:tRNA from 1 species
GUGUGGGCUUCGUAAUCAUCUUGACAUGGUGGGGGUCGUUGGUUCGAGUCCAAUCGCGCCUACCA